rnacentral:rRNA from 1 species
UACGUAGGGUGCGAGCGUUGUCCGGAAUUAUUGGGCGUAAAGAGCUUGUAGGCGGUUUGUCGCGUCUGCCGUGAAAAUUCGAGGCUCAACCUCGAACUUGCGGUGGGUACGGGCAGACUAGAGUGUGGUAGGGGAGACUGGAAUUCCUGGUGUAGCGGUGAAAUGCGCAGAUAUCAGGAAGAACACCCGUGGCGAAGGCGGCUCUCUGGGACGGUACUGACGCUGAGACGCGAAAGCGUGGGGAGCGAACAGG